rnacentral:rRNA from 1 species
CGAUGGCUCAGAUUGAACGCUGGCGGCGUGCUUAACACAUGCAAGUCGAACGCGAACGGGGGCUUCGGCCCCAAGUAGAGUGGCGCACGGGUGAGUAACGCGUGGACAAUCUGCCCUUAUGACUGGAAUAACAGUUGGAAACGGCUGCUAAUACCGGAUACGCUCAGGAAGAACUUUUUGAGGAAAGGCGGCCUCUGCUUGCAAGCUGUCGCAUAAGGAUGAGUCCGCGUCCCAUUAGCUAGUUGGCGGGGUAACGGCCCACCAAGGCAACGAUGGGUAGCCGAUUUGAGAGGAUGAUCGGCCACACUGGGACUGAAACACGGCCCAGACUCCUACGGGAGGCAGCAGUGGGGAAUAUUGCGCAAUGGGCGAAAGCCUGACGCAGCGACGCCGCGUGAGGGAUUGAAGGUUUUCGGAUCGUAAACCUCUGUCAGAAGGGAAGAAACUGCCGUGCUCUAAUCAUCAUGGCAUUGACGGUACCUUCAAAGGAAGCACCGGCUAACUCCGUGCCAGCAGCGGC